GAUGAACGCUAGCUACAGGCUUAACACAUGCAAGUCGAGGGGCAGCACUAGGUAGCAAUACUGAGGUGGCGACCGGCGCACGGGUGCGUAACGCGUAUCCAACCUUCCCGUUACUCUUGGAUAGCCUUCCGAAAGGGAGAUUAAUACAAGAUGGUAUUCAAAUUCCGCAUGUUAUUUGAAUUAAAGAUUUAUCGGUAACGGAUGGGGAUGCGUGACAUUAGGUAGAUGGCGGGGUAACGGCCCACCAUGCCUACGAUGUCUAGGGGUUCUGAGAGGAAGGUCCCCCCACACUGGAACUGAGACACGGUCCAGACUCCUACGGGAGGCAGCAGUGAGGAAUAUUGGUCAAUGGUCGGAAGACUGAACCAGCCAAGUAGCGUGAAGGAUGAAGGUUCUAUGGAUUGUAAACUUCUUUUAUACGGGAAUAAAACCUCCCACGUGUGGGAGCUUGUAUGUACCGUAUGAAUAAGCAUCGGCUAACUCCGUG
rnacentral:rRNA from 1 species